rnacentral:lncRNA from 1 species
CUUGGUACAGUGGAGAAACAGAAGGCCCAGAAUUUCUUGCCGUUUAUUACACUGUAAAGUGGGAGCAUACACAGAUGUGGAGUGAGGAAGAUAGCAAAGCCCUCUUAAACACAUGUUUGGAUCAUGGACAGACACAGGACUUCAUAAGAAGAGUUCACCAUGCAUGGCGUGGACACACUCCAAGCUGUUCACACUGGCUUGUUUCCAAAUGGGCACAAAUCCCCUCUGCAUACCCAAGUGAAUGAUCAUCUCCAGUGCAGUGGCUGAGCUACGCGAUUCUCCCAUAACUGUCAUGUUGAUGGUAAAACAACCUGAAGAAAUGAGAAAAAGCCUGGUUGGUUAUCAUUUCCUUCCAACUAUCCUUCACACUUCACUGCACCCAUGAGUAAAAUUUGUGUAAUGAAUGCACUGGGUCUGAGCAAUAUUGAUGCCACUGUGUACAAGAAAUAAUCAAGAAGUUAACAAAGCAACGAUGGCGUCUUUGAGAGGGCAUUGCCACAGACACACUUCAGCCUAAUGAGAGGAGUCCAGGAUGAUGAACUCUUCAAUCUGGAUGAUGUACUUCUAUGGGCAACAUGUAAGAACAGAUCAGCUUUUGUGGUUGUUGAUUAACAUCGAGCUUAAUGCCGAACACAUUUAACUUGUCUAUGUCAUGCCUUCAAAGUCCUCAGAGACAUACACCAUCAACCUGAACAUUGAUUCUUAAUGUGAUGAAUUCUUUCCAUGAUAUAAUAAUAAUAAUAAUAGAACAGUAGUAAAGACUGAUACUUAUUCUUUGCUUUGUGCUAGACAUUUUACACAUCAUGCUUUAUAUGUAUUAACUCAUUUUAAUCUUCACAAAAGUGUUUUGAGUUACCUACUAUUAUUUUCUCUAAUUUACAGAUGAGGAAAUUGAAGGCAAGUAAGGUAAAUCAUGUGUUCAAGGUCACACAACCAGUAGGGAGUAAUGUCAAGCUUAACCAAGGGAAUUAGGCCAGGCACGGUGGCUCA